rnacentral:rRNA from 1 species
AAGGGUAGCAAUACCUGAGUAAAGCGGCGAACGGGUGAGUAACACGUGGUUAACCUGCCGGAAUGUGGGGGAUACCCCGGGGAAACUCGGGACAAUACCGCAUACGGUCUCCUGGGCGUGGGCCCGGGAGAGCAAAGCCGGGGAUCGCAAGACCUGGCGCAUUUCGAGGGGACCGCGGCCGAUUAGCUAGUUGGCGGGGUAAUGGCCCACCAAGGCAACGAUCGGUAGCCGGCCUGAGAGGGUGAUCGGCCACACCGGAACUGAGACACGGUCCGGACUCCUACGGGAGGCAGCAGUGGGGAAUUUUGCGCAAUGGGCGAAAGCCUGACGCAGCAACGCCGCGUGGAGGAUGAAGGUUCUCUGAA